rnacentral:rRNA from 1 species
CACGUAGGAGGCGAGCGUUGUCCGGAAUCAUUGGGCGUAAAGAGCGCGCAGGCGGCCCGGCAAGUCGGGUGUGAAAUCCCGGGGCUCAACCCCGGGACUGCAUUCGAUACUGUCGGGCUAGAGGUAGGUAGGGGAGAUCGGAAUUCCUGGUGUAGCGGUGAAAUGCGCAGAUAUCAGGAGGAACACCGGUGGCGAAGGCGGAUCUCUGGGCCUUACCUGACGCUCAGGCGCGAAAGCAUGGGGAGCGAACAGG